CUCUAAGCUUCAGUUAAACAGGAAUCGUACCCGAAACCGACACAGGUGGUCAGGUCGAGUAGACCAAAGCGCUUGAGAGAACUCUGCUGAAGGAACUAGGCAAAAUGGUACCGUAACUUCGGGAGAAGGUACGCUGCCGGCGGUGAUAGGACUUGCUCCUUGAGCUGUUGGCAGCCUCAGAAACCAGGCCCCUGCAACUGUUUAUUAAAAACAUAGCACUCUGCAAACACGAAAGUGGACGUAUAGGGUGUGAUGCCUGCCCGGUGCUGGAAGGUUAAUUGAUGGGGUUAGCGUAAGCGAAGCUCUUGAUCGAAGCCCCAGUAAACGGCGGCCGUAACUAUAACGGUCCUAAGGUAGCGAAAUUCCUUGUCGGGUAAGUUCCGACCUGCACGAAUGGCAUAAUGAUGGGGGCGCUGUCUCCAGCAGAGGCUCAGUGAAAUCGAAAUCGCCGUGAAGAUGCGGUGUACCCGCGGCUAGACGGAAAGACCCCGUGAACCUUUACUGCAGCUUGACAUUGAACUUUGAUCUUACUUGUGUAGGAUAGGUGGGAGGCUUUGAAGUGGCGACGCUAGUUGCCAUGGAGCCGUCCUUGAAAUACCACCCUGGUAAUAUUGAGGUUCUAACUCUGUCCCGUUAUCCGGGACGAGGACCAUGUCUGGUGGGUAGUUUGACUGGGGCGGUCUCCUCCUAAAGAGUAACGGAGGAGUACGAAGGUGCGCUCAGCGUGGUCGGAAAUCACGCGUAGAGUAUAAAGGCAAAAGCGCGCUUAACUGCGAGACCCACAAGUCGAGCAGGUACGAAAGUAGGUCUUAGUGAUCCGGUGGUUCUGUAUGGAAGGGCCAUCGCUCAACGGAUAAAAGGUACUCUGGGGAUAACAGGCUGAUACCGCCCAAGAGUUCAUAUCGACGGCGGUGUUUGGCACCUCGAUGUCGGCUCAUCUCAUCCUGGGGCUGAAGCAGGUCCCAAGGGUAUGGCUGUUCGCCAUUUAAAGAGGUACGCGAGCUGGGUUUAGAACGUCGUGAGACAGUUCGGUCCCUAUCUACCGUGGGCGCUGGAAAUUUGAGAGGAUCUGCUCCUAGUACGAGAGGACCAGAGUGGACGAACCUCUGGUGUACCGGUUGUGACGCCAGUCGCAUCGCCGGGUAGCUAUGUUCGGAAGGGAUAACCGCUGAAAGCAUCUAAGCGGGAAGCCUACCUCAAGAUAAGAUUUCCCUGUGACUUUAUGUCACCUAAAGAGCCGUUGAAGACUACGACGUUGAUAGGUUGGAUGUGGAAGUGUAGCGAUACAUGAAGCUGACCAAUACUAAUUGCUCGUGAGGCUUGACUAUACAACACCCA
rnacentral:rRNA from 1 species